rnacentral:rRNA from 1 species
GAUGAACGCUGGCGGCGUGCCUAAUACAUGCAAGUCGAGCGAACAGACGAGGAGCUUGCUCCUCUGACGUUAACGGCGGACGGGUGAGUAACACGUGGAGAACCUACCUAUAAGACUGGGAUAACUUCGGGAAACCGGAGCUAAUACCGGAUAAUAUAUUGAACCGCAUGGUUCAAUAGUGAAAGACGGUUUUGCUGUCACUUAUAGAUGGAUCCGCGCCGCAUUAGCUAGUUGGUAAGGUAACGGCUUACCAAGGCGACGAUGCGUAGCCGACCUGAGAGGGUGAUCGGCCACACUGGAACUGAGACACGGUCCAGACUCCUACGGGAGGCAGCGGUAGCGAAUCUUCCGCAAUGGGCGAAAGCCUGACGGAGCAACGCCGGGCGAGUGAUGAAGGUCUUCGGAUCGUAAAACUCUGUUAUUAGGGAAGAACAAAUGUGUAAGUAACUAUGCACGUCUUGACGGUACCUACUCAGAAAGCAACGGCUAACUACGUG